rnacentral:lncRNA from 1 species
UAGGGGGUCUGUCAUGAACAGACAAAAACCCUAUUCCUCAGUCAGUAGGUAGCUUACAAACAACUAAAUCCUAUGCCAUAAAAGGCUGGAAUUAAUUGAGAAGCCUUGUGGCUGGCCAAAUAACCUAACAUUAGACUGAACAUUAAAAGUUCAAUGCCAUUUCAAGAAGCUGAGGGCAAAGGAAGGAGUGAGCUGGGCAAACCAAAUAGAAGGCAUCAAAAGGGGGUCUACCAGCUAUGGAGAUGUAGUGCCCUCCCAGUAAGGGCAAUUUAUAGUCACUGGAAUGGCCAAGAGGUAGCGCAGCACUGCAGGAGAUGCAGUGAGCUUUCUGAAGUUGUGAAUCUGUCUGAGAAUCUCUGCCUGGACAAUUCCCUCAUGUACAUACAAGCACAAUUGUAUGUAUAAUUUCAGAAAACUUACAGAAGCAAGGCAAGCUAACCGUAUCCAAAUCACUACCUUCCCUAUGAGUGUUCUGGCUCUGAGACAUGUUUUAGUGACUCUGCAUAGCUCAAACAUCUCUUGGCUAUUUUGACAAGAAAACACCUUAAAGUAACAAUAACAACAAAACUAUAAACCUUGGAAAUCCUAUUUGUUCAUUCCUUCCUGUAUCAACUGUUUCCUGAGCACCAAUUCUCUGUAUCUAUUUAUACAUAUACAUAUAUGUGUGUGUGUGUAUAUAUAUAUAUAUAUAUAUACACACACACACACACAGAGUCCCCAACCUGCGAUGGUUUAACUUACAAUUGUGCAAAAAUGACACACAUUCAGUAGAAACUGUGCUUCAAAUUUUAAAUUUUUCCCAGGCUAGUGACAUAUGGAACUAUACUCUCUGGCAAUGCUGAGUAGCAGCAAUGAGCCGAAGCUUCCAGUCCACCAUGCUAUCAUGAAGUGUGCAGUUUUCUGUGCUGCCAGAUAAUUUUGACUGUAGACAAUGUAAGUGCUCUUUAUUUUAUUUAUUUAUUUUUAGACAAGGUCCAGCUCUGUUGGCCAGGCUGGAGUGUGGGUGGAGUGCAGAGGCACAAUCAUAGCUCACUGCAGCCUCAAAUUCCUGGGUUCAAGCAAUCCUUCUGCCUAAGACCUCCUGAGUAGCUAGGACGACAGGCACAUACAACCAUGCCUGGCUAAGACAGUGUUAACUGUUCUGAGCACCUUUAAGGUAGUCUAGCCCAAACUAUGAUGUUCAGUAGGUUAGGUGUAUUAAAUAGACUUUCAACUUACAAUAUUUUCAACUUAUGAUGCAUUUAUCAGGAUGUAACCCCAUUGUACAUGGAGGAACAGUUGUAUAUAGUCGCAGGUGCUAUUCUAGAGUUUGGGGACACAGCAGGAAGCAGAACAAAGCAUGCAGUGAAUACUUAGGGCUGGUGUGUGGCAGGAGGAGCUGCUAGUUUAUAUAGGGGAGGUCAGUG